CUGUAUGGUGUUAUAAGAUGGGCGGUGGACAAAAGUACAAUACACGAAGUCACACUGGCCGAGUUGGAGAAGAUAGCGCUCCGCCUCAAUCCCGAUAAGAAGAAAUCGAUACACAAGACAUUCCGACCGGAACUCUAACCAUGGGCCAACCUCAUUACCUCCAUGCAGACCGGCAUUAACUCCACCAUAGCAUGGAUGGAAGCUUGGAAGCUGAGGCCCAACAUCACGAAGACCGAAGCAAUGUUCAUCAGCCCAUCGCCGCCUACUCAGCCGUUGCACUUUCCAGGAGCCAAUGCUAACGUUAAAAUUGUUCUUGAACACAAACACCUUGGUGUUAUAUUCGACAGCCAUAUGUCCUGGUCCCCACAGGUCCAGUCAGUAUGCAAGCGAGCUAGCUCCUCCCUUGGCAUGUUGCAACCGCACUGCCACCAUUUAAAUGACCAUUGCCGAAAAUUGUUCUUUACGUCGUAUAUUCUACCUAUAUUUGAUUACUGUGACACUGCGUGAUGCGGUCUGUCUCAGGCCCUUGUUCAAACUCUGGACAUACACCAGCGUCUGCUUCUAAAAAUCCUGUUUCGCAAAAAUCUAACAUUCUCCUCCCAACGUCUCUACAGUUUAGCUUCAGUAUCUCCCCUUUUAGAGCGACACCAGCAACAUCUUUGCAUCCUUGUACACAUGAUCUUAUUAGACCUGGCUCCAAAACACUUUGCUAAGUAUAACUGGUUUGUGCCCACCAGAUCAACACGUCAUUCCUUCUCAUUACCCCGUGCCAAUACUUCCCUGUUUCUGAAAUCUCCUAUCUUCUCUGCGUACACUCUCUGGUCUUCCCUGCCAACUAGCCUUAAAGCAUGCACAGACAUUAAGGAGUUCAAGCUUCAGCUUCUUCGUCCUAAAUAAUCUCACCAUUUUCGUCAGCCCUCCCCUUGCAGUACUCUCUUUGUUUCUCUCCUUAUUAUUCAGUUCGCCGUGGUUCGCUACCACCCGACUUCUCAUAUAUGUUGGACUCAGUAGAGCGUCCAGCCCCUAUAUGAUGUCCAACCCCUAUAUAGAGUCCAUCGGUCCAUAAUCCACUGUACAGAGUCCAAACUUGGAAUCAACUGUGAGCUCAAAGUUUA